rnacentral:rRNA from 1 species
UACAGAGGGGGCAAGCGUUGUUCGGAAUUACUGGGCGUAAAGGGCGCGUAGGCGGCCGCCUAAGUCAGACGUGAAAUCCCUCGGCUCAACCGGGGAACUGCGUCUGAUACUGGGUGGCUUGAAUUCGGGAGAGGGAUGCGGAAUUCCAGGUGUAGCGGUGAAAUGCGUAGAUAUCUGGAGGAACACCGGUGGCGAAGGCGGCAUCCUGGACCGAGAUUGACGCUGGGGCGCGAAAGCCAGGGGAGCAAACGGG